GUAACCACAGCCUUCUAGGGUAUACAAAGUCCAGGACACCUUCAGCUCAGUUUUCCUUUUUAUUCAGUAAGAAAGCAGGUACUUUAAAUAAUAACAAAAACAAACAAAAUCCCUUGCUCUUACUUGAGCUCUUACUAGACAGUAAUUGCUAUCUGCAAUUGGGUGGCUUUCCCACUUACCAAUUUUCCAAACAAAAGCAAUGUCUUUGCAAUAAACACAAUCUCUCCUAGCUGUCUUUUCCUCCCUCACUCUGCAGCAGGCUGCUCUCUUCUUUUAAAGGCCUGUCUACUAAUUGAGUAGCUACAGGUGAGUGCCAAUUAGUUAACUCUUAAAAUCAGAUCCAAGCUGUGGUCUGUUAUACAGCAACUAGUGCUGUUGGAGCAUUGGCCCACCCUGCUCUCCAAAUACUCCGCCCCAGGGACCCAUACCAUGUUUUGCAGAGCAUCAGCUAUGCAUAUUGCAAACUUUAACAUCUCUCCCUGGG